rnacentral:rRNA from 1 species
GACGAACGCUGGCGGCGUGCUUAACACAUGCAAGUCGAACGGAAAGGCCCUUCGGGGUACUCGAGUGGCGAACGGGUGAGUAACACGUGGGUGAUCUGCCCUGCACUUUGGGAUAAGCCUGGGAAACUGGGUCUAAUGCCGAAUAGGACCACGCGCUUCAUGGUGUGUGGUGGAAAGCUUUUGCGGUGUGGGAUGGGCCCGCGGCCUAUCAGCUUGUUGGUGGGGUAAUGGCCUACCAAGGCGACGACGGGUAGCCGGCCUGAGAGGGUGACCGGCCACACUGGGACUGAGAUACGGCCCAGACUCCUACGGGAGGCAGCAGUGGGGAAUAUUGCACAAUGGGCGCAAGCCUGAUGCAGCGACGCCGCGUGAGGGAUGACGGCCUUCGGGUUGUAAACCUCUUUCAAUAGGGACGAAGCGCAAGUGACGGUACCUAUAGAAGAAGCACCGGCCAACUACGUG